rnacentral:rRNA from 1 species
AUGCAAGUCGAGCGAACGGACGAGAAGCUUGCUUCUCUGAUGUUAGCGGCGGACGGGUGAGUAACACGUGGAUAACCUACCUAUAAGACUGGGAUAACUUCGGGAAACCGGAGCUAAUACCGGAUAAUAUUUUGAACCGCAUGGUUCAAAAGUGAAAGACGGUCUUGCUGUCACUUAUAGAUGGAUCCGCGCUGCAUUAGCUAGUUGGUAAGGUAACGGCUUACCAAGGCAACGAUGCAUAGCCGACCUGAGAGGGUGAUCGGCCACACUGGAACUGAGACACGGUCCAGACUCCUACGGGAGGCAGCAGUAGGGAAUCUUCCGCAAUGGGCGAAAGCCUGACGGAGCAACGCCGCGUGAGUGAUGAAGGUCUUCGGAUCGUAAAACUCUGUUAUUAGGGAAGAACAUAUGUGUAAGUAACUGUGCACAUCUUGACGGUACCUAAUCAGAAAGCCACGGCUAACU